rnacentral:rRNA from 1 species
GCUGGCGGCGUGCUUACACAUGCAAGNNNNNAACGAGAACGGCCCUAGCUUGCUAGGGUGUCAGCUAAGUGGCGCACGGGUGAGUAAUGUAUAGUUAAUCUGCCCCUUGGAGAGGGAUAACGUUUGGAAACGGACGCUAAUACCUCAUACUCCUGAUACUGUAGUGGUAUCAGGGAAACGUCUUUUCGCCAAGGGAUGAGACUAUAUGGCAUCAGGUAGUUGGUGGGGUAAUGGCCCACCAAGCCAAUGACGCCUAGCUGGUCUGAGAGGAUGAUCAGCCACACUGGUACUGAGACACGGACCAGACUCCUACGGGAGGCAGCAGUGGGGAAUAUUGCACAAUGGAGGAAACUCUGAUGCAGCAACGCCGCGUGGAGGAUGACGCAUUUCGGUGUGUAAACUCCUUUUAUAUAGGAAGAUAAUGACGGUACUAUAUGAAUAAGCACCGGCUAACUCCGUGCCAGCAGCCGCGGUAAUACGGAAGGGUGCAAGCGNUACUCGGAAUCACUGGGCGUAAAGCGCGCGCAGGCGG